rnacentral:rRNA from 1 species
GAUGAACGCUGGCGGCGUGCCGAAUACAUGCAAGUCGAGCGAACCACUUCGGUGGUGAGCGGCGAACGGGUGAGUAACACGUAGGUGAUCUGCCCAUCAGACGGGGACAACGAUUGGAAACGAUCGCUAAUACCGGAUAGGACGAAAGUUUAAAGGUGCUUCUGGCACCGCUGAUGGAUGAGCCUGCGGCGCAUUAGCUAGUUGGUAGGGUAAAGGCCUACCAAGGCGACGAUGCGUAGCCGACCUGAGAGGGUGAACGGCCACACUGGGACUGAGACACGGCCCAGACUCCUACGGGAGGCAGCAGUAGGGAAUCUUCGGCAAUGGGCGAAAGCCUGACCGAGCAACGCCGCGUGAAUGAUGAAGGCCUUCGGGUUGUAAAAUUCUGUUAUAAGGGAAGAACGACUUUAGUAGGAAAUGGCUAGAGUGUGACGGUACCUUAUGAGGAAGCCACGGCUAACUACGUGCCAGCCGCCGCAGUAA